AGCGAACGCUAGCGGCGGGCCUAACACAUGCAAGUCGAGCGGAGGGGCAACCCUCAGCGGCGAACGGGUGAGUAACACGUAGGUAAUGUACCCUCUGGUGGGGAAUAACCGUGGGAAACCAUGGCUAAUACCGCAUAUGUCUUUCGAGAUGAAAGCAGCAAUGCGCCAGAGGAGCAGCCUGCGGCCGAUUAUUUAGUCCUAGUUGGUGAGGUAAUGGCUCACCAAGGGUACGAUCGGUAGCUGGUCUGAGAGGAUGAUCAGCCACACUGGAACUGAGACACGGUCCAGACCCCUACGGGAGGCAGCAGUGGGGAAUAUUGCGCAAUGGGCGAAAGCCUGACGCAGCCACGCCGCGUGAGUGAUGAAGGCCUUCGGUUGUAAGCUCUGUCGGAGGGAAGAAGGGGCGAACCCUGACGGUACCUCGCAAGAAAGACACCGGCUAACUACCGUGCCAGCAGCCGGGUAAAGUCUAGCAUG
rnacentral:rRNA from 1 species